rnacentral:rRNA from 1 species
AACGAACGCUGGCGGCAUGCCUAACACAUGCAAGUCGAACGAGAUCUUCGGGUCUAGUGGCGCACGGGUGCGUAACGCGUGGGAAUCUGCCCUUUGGUUCGGAAUAACAGUUGGAAACGACUGCUAAUACCGGAUGAUGACGAAAGUCCAAAGAUUUAUCGCCGGAGGAUGAGCCCGCGUAGGAUUAGCUAGUUGGUGUGGUAAGGGCGCACCAAGGCGACGAUCCUUAGCUGGUCUGAGAGGAUGAUCAGCCACACUGGGACUGAGACACGGCCAAGACUGCUACGGGAGGCAGCGGUGGGGAAUAUUGGACAAUGGGCGAAAGCCUGGUCCAGCAAUGCCGCGUGAGUGAUGAAGGCCUUAGGGUUGUAAAGCUCUUUUACCCGGGAUGAUAAUGACGGUACCGGGAGAAUAAGCUCCGGCUAACUCCGUGCCAGCCGCCGCAGUAA